rnacentral:rRNA from 1 species
ACGUAGGGGGCGAGCGUUGUCCGGAAUCACUGGGCGUAAAGGGCGUCUAGGCGGCUUGGUAAGCGGGGCGUGAAAUCCCGGGGCUCAACUCCGGAACGCCGUCCCGAACUGCCAGGCUUGAGUGCGGGAGAGGGCAGUGGAAUUCCCGGUGUAGCGGUGAAAUGCAUAGAUAUCGGGAGGAACACCAGUGGCGAAGGCGGCUGCCUGGACCGUUACUGACGCUGAAGCGCGAAAGCCAGGGGAGCGAACGG